rnacentral:lncRNA from 1 species
UUACAAAAGGGGAAGGGCACUUGGCUUGUUUUAAAUGUUGGGGGGCGGCUCCUGGCACAGUGCUGCACCUGGGAGAGGGACUUCAGGGUCCCAAGCUGGACACACAGCCCCUGACCGUGACCUGAGCCUCGACCUCCUCGGUGCUGCUCGUCGUGUUCCCUCCAAGGCCCAUGGGCGGCGCAAGGCGGCUAUAAGGAGCGUCCUUACCCGCUGCCUCCUGCCACCAUGCACGCACUGCUGCUACUGCUGCUCCUGGCUCUAGGGUCCGCGCUGCGCUCCCCGCAGCCCCCGGAGGCGCGCGCCAAGCUCUGUGGUCACCACCUGGUGCGUGCGCUGGUGCGGGUGUGCGGUGGCCCGCGUUGGUCACCCGAGGCCACGCAGCCUGUGGACACCCGCGACCGUGAGUGGGGACAGGCGGGGCGGAUGGAUACGCAUGGAUAAUCAAGUAGGAAGACGCUGGCAUAGUGACGCCCCCUCCUAAUAGGACUCUAAGACUAGAGUCCUCAUGGACUUUUAAGUUUUCCCUCUUUUUGGAUGUUUGAGACGGAGUCUCACGUAGCCCAGGCUGGACUCAGACUAACAGUGUAGCCAUCCAAGGAGAACAGUGAACUGCUUGCCUCACUUAGACUUGUGUACUUAGCUGACUGGCACGAGCCACCACUUGGUUUAUUGUUUACUAAACAAUACAAGACAGACUCACUAGGAAACCUAAAGUGACUUCAAAGUCACAGGAAUCCUGCCUCCGCACCUCCAGUUCUGGGGUCACUGGGAUAUGGCCCUCUUUGGGGAUUGUGGGUGAGGACUCUACCUCCAGGCCCAGAGAACAGAAGAGGACAGAGGUCCCUGUGUCCCUGUGCCCAGCCGGUGAUGUGGGAAUGUAUGGCCCCCUCCUGAAGCAGAGGGUGCCAUCCAAGGGGCCACAGGGCAAACCCAAGACUGCGUGCAAUUCUAGGGACCUCACCCUUCCAUGGCCACAAACUGGGGUGCACAGGAGGCAAACAGGCACACAGAGUUGGAGGGGAGCUGCUGCAGUGGCUGGAGCAACGACAUCUCCUGCACGCGCUCGUGGCCGAUGCGGAUCCCGCGCUAGACCCGGACCCCGCGCUGGACCCGCAGCUUCCUCACCAGGCUUCUCAGCGCCAGCGCCGCAGUGUGGCCACCAACGCUGUGCACCGCUGCUGUCUCACUGGCUGCACCCAGCAAGACCUUUUGGGUCUGUGUCCCCACUGAAGGAUUGUAGGGCUCAGGUGGUGUGUGUCAAUUAUUCCCCACCUCACAGCUGUGCCAAUGAAACACCCCCGGAUUGCCUUGGAGGAUCCCUAGUUUAUUCAUAGAUCCCAGAAACCAAGGACCACAGGUCCUGUCCCCAGGGAGCCCCAUCAUGACCUGUGCCCACCUCCUCCCUGUGGGCCAACAGUCUAAAUAAAAAAGCAACUUGAUGUUU